rnacentral:ncRNA from 1 species
ACAAUCUCGGAGUGAAUAGCACUUUCUGGGGGAUACGCGUAGUGAACAUUCAGGCUGAUUGUGUCAUUACGUAGGGUAGGUAUCAGCAAGUCCUUUUGUUGAUAGACGGGAUACUCUAGUCGUGGGAGCGGCAUCAAAAUGGGAAACCCAACA